UGGGUUNCUUAUCUGCAGAUGAAUCAU
rnacentral:piRNA from 1 species